rnacentral:lncRNA from 1 species
CAGGAUAACACUUUACAUUAAGCACUAUGAUAUGGAGUAUGGAGAGAAGUUUUUUUGCACAUUUGAUAGUACUUUAGAAUCAACUGAUAACAGUACUUCUCUGUCUAGUAGGCAUUUUAUUACAUAUAUACAUUUUGGGGUUGUUUACAUUAUUUUGGGGUUGCACCACUAUAGGAAAGCCAUCUUCUUCUUCUGAACUUGAAUUCAUUAUAAACUUACACGAGAAAAAUGAAAGACGACCGUUUCCUUCAUUGAACUGCUUCAUCCGACUCCCGUACAUCACGUCUUCUCCUCUUUAUUCGACUUGUAUCAAUUUUGUGGCCGAGUUCUUUCAUUCUUUCUAUGGCCCGCUUCCUAGAACGAUACUCCUCCUUCCCUGGUCCAUAGUAAUACUGCAGAAAUAAUUUAAAUCAUAAUGACGGAUAUAUAACACAUGAAACAAGUAUAUAAAAGAGUAGGUUUAGGAGUGAAACCCAAUAACAAUGAAAUAAAUUUGUUAGGUUGCAUUUGAAACAGAUUAAUCAUGAUUAUUUCAUGUAACCACUGAACAUAAAAAUGAAAAAAGUUGUUAUAAGGGUAUUGAUGACGGGAAUUCAUAUUGUUUACCUAAACAACAGGCCGGCCAAAAAAGGAUUUUGUAUUGUUCUUGGAAAACAAAAUUAGUCAUGUAAAAUAUAUAAUUAGGAAUACAUACGUGCGCGCUUUACCGUCAGAACUGAAGCGAUUUGCAUUCAAAAUAGGUAUAAUGGUAAUUAUUUAUCAAAUCUCAAUCGACUACUGUCGAAUGAAGUUUCAAGAAGAUGAACGAUAGUUAUAAGUAUGUGUACGUAUAUACAGUAAAAAUAGAAAGAAUUGGAAGAGCGAGAGAUCAAUAAGCUCAAAGGCUAUAAAAUGCAAUUGGAACAUUCUCCUUCUCUACAUCUCAAUGAAAUCUACAUACCUAGUUGGAUCAUGUGUGCGAGAGAACAAUCCUCUAGCUUCAUUGCUUCAAUACCCUACCGAUAAUUAUAGCUCUUAGAACU